rnacentral:rRNA from 1 species
CAAUAGCGUAUACUAAUGUUGUUGCAGUUAAAAAGCUCGUAGUUGAACUUCUGGUAGGAGUGUCCCGGCCUUUUUGUUUUUACAAAUUGUAUGCUGUGUGACAUCUCUGGCCAUCCUUCUUCUUUGUUUAAAGAAGAUCUUUCACGGUAAAAAAAUUAGGGUGUUCAAAGCAAAAGUUUCUUUGGAAUAUAUUAGUAUGGGAUGAUAAGAUAGGCUCUAGAUGCUAUUUUGUUGGUUUGCACAUUUAGAGAAUGAUUAACAGGGACAGUUGGGGGUAUUCGUAUUUACAUGUCAGAGGUGAAAUUCUUGGAUUUUGGAAAGACGAACUACUGCGAAAGCAUUUACCAAGGAUGUUUUCAUUAA